AGACACCUACGCAGACGCGAAAGUGAAAGGGGGGCGACUGGGCCCGGCAGGCGGGCGGCCGGCGGCGCGCGGGCACGCGGCAGGGGACAGAGGAUGGAUGGGUGAACCCGGAUCCCGGGAUUCUCCCGCGCCCGCUGCCCCUCUGCGGAGCCUCCCCGGAGUCCCACGCCCCCACCCCGGCCACGGAGAUCACCACGUCAGGAGAUAUGUAUGCGUGUGCAUGUGUGUGCGCGCGUGUUCACGCGCGUGUGCGAGGUACGCUUCUGCCCCAGACUCUUCCCCCGCACCGUUACACACACCCUUAGAUGGAAGAUUGGGGGUUUGGGAGGGGGGAGAAGUGUGAGUGUCACUACCAGUUAACCGGCUCCCCUGCUGUGGUCCCUUUUGACUCAGUUAAACCCCACCAACUGACCACACACACACCCCUUUUCUGGCUUAACACUCCUUUUUCUGCAGGCUCUAUUGCCCCCUUCCACCCCCGCCCUUCUUUGGGUUCUUUCCCGUUUUAUUCCUAAAUAGCUGUGAAAGUUGCUAAUCCCUUCCCACAUAGACCCGUGUUAAACACCGAGGUGCCCUGUUAAAACAAUCACUGCCUUUCUCCUUCCACAUUCCCACUGUCCUGACAGCGAGCUUCCCAUUGCCUCCAUCACCUACACAGUUUUGGCACGACUCGGUUCUUAGCUGGCUCAAGGUAACAAUUUGGCCUCUAGUAAAACAACCUUUUGGCUUUUCUUAUUUGUAGGAAAGGCUUCUAGGUUCAUAUUUACUGCAUUCUUAAGGUAUAUCUUAAGAUGGUGAUCAAGAAAAUAUUUACGUAUCAGAUAUUUUGAAAAAUAACAUUCAGUGAGUUUUAAAAAGAACCAUUUGGAAGUGUACUGAUGUCUGCAAACUAAUUUGGAAGUGCGUGCAUCAAAAAUAAAAUGCAGCAACAUUGGUGGAUUGAUAAAAUGGACAGAAGGAUGGAUAGAUAUGUGAUAAAACAUGUUGAUAAUGCAAUAUUAAUAGUAGAAUAUAAGUGCUAAGUAUACAGGUGUUCACUGUAAAGUUCCUUCAGCUUUUUUGUGUGUUUGAAAUUUUUCAUAACACAAUGUUGGAUAAAAAGAACCCCCCCACUUAAGGUAACCUAUAUAAUGUAAAUUGUUUCCAAAACUUACAAAUUGGGCAUUGAUUAUUGUUUCCUCCUUUACAAAAUGAUUUUCUAUAACAAUUCUUAAGCUAGGUACUCCCACCACUAUUUUAAUCAAUGAUUUCAAUUAAGGACAAUUUGAUCAAAUUAGGGUGUACAGUGGGGUUAUUAUAACUGCAACAUUUUAGAAAUUUAUAAGGUUUCUUCCUGUGUUUCUUUUGUCCAUUUUAUACAUACACACACACACACACACAUACACACACACACACAAACUGUUCUCAAAUUUUCAUCUUCCCUGCUUUUAAAACAGUUUGGUAUUACAAAGCUAAGAUUGAAUUUUUAAGCAGAUAUGGAUAUUCUUUUGAAACUUUUUCACAAAAUAGCUUGUGGGGAGUCCAUUUGCCCUUAUUUACAGUAUCAGCUUAUCUUACCCCUUGGGAGAGAUGUUAGGGGAUCUUGCAAUUAUUAAUAGGCAAAGCUUUAUUUGUUUUUUGGUAUCUGAGUCUUUAAACAUUUGCCCAAAUAUUUGAAUGAUUAAGUUUCCCCUGGGUAAACCACUUUUAUAUUUUCCUCUGCUGAGAGACAAAAGGUGGUCCUGUGACACCCUGAAAAGUGAACAACUUUGGGAUAAGAUCUGAGUCUCCCUCAUCUGAAGAGAAGGUGGCACUGGUUUUGCUUGGAAUCACCCCACAAGUGAUGCCUCAGAGGGAUCUCUUCAAAGAAGAUGGGUUUUUAGAAGCUUAGGAAUACUCUUCAUUCCAAUGCCCAUUCAUAGAGAGCCCGAUCAACUCAGAAAUAUGUGUGCCUAGUAAAUGUCAAUAUUUAGUUGUUUUCUGAGAUGUCCCUUAACAAAGUUUGUUGCUUUCGUCUUUUUAUGUAAGUGUAUUUUUUCCUUGCAAAAGGAUAGAAAUUUUUUCAAGAAAAAUAAAAGGGAGAAUUAUCGUACGGAAAAGGACGUUAACUUCGUCUCCUAUGUAGCUGCCAAAUAGCUGAAAGCUUGAAGCAGCAUCAGACAUCUCCCUUUUGACAAUUGCUCUCCCUCUAUUCACAGUCGCUGAACCUCAGGACACCUCCCUCCCCCCCAUCCCAUUAAUGUCAAACUCCCUGAGGUUUGCCACUAAAGUGCACGACUCAGCGUUUGCAAUUUACAUGUGUGACAUCACAUCCUCUAUUAUGUAACUUCAGAUACAAAGCCUAAUAUCAUCUAAGUUUGUGUUGGAAAAAAAUCCUCCCUAGCUCUCUAUUUCAGCUUUAGCAGAACCACCCCUUAGUUCUCUGCUCCGAAUCCAUUCCUUCAACAGCUGACACUGAGGGGUGGGGGGAAAGCCAUGGAGUUAAGCUGUAAAAUUAUAAGCCAAAAAAAAAA
rnacentral:lncRNA from 10 species